rnacentral:miRNA from 1 species
CUUGUCAGAGUGGUUGUGGUGUG